UACGUAGGACCCAAGCGUUAUCCGGAAUUACUGGGCGUAAAGAGUUGCGUAGGUGGCAAAGUAAGCAGGGUAUGAAAUCGUACGGCUCAACCGUAUACCCAUAUCUUGAACUGCUUAGCUAGAGGAUGAGAGAGGUUAUUGGAAUUCCUAGUGUAGGAGUGAAAUCCGUAGAUAUUAGGAGGAACACCGAUGGCGUAAGCAGAUAACUGGCUCAUUCCUGACACUCAGGCACGAAAGCGUGGGGAGCGACCGGG
rnacentral:rRNA from 1 species